CGUUGCGCUUGCCCCGUGCCGGAGUGAAGUCACCAUUCUCUAGGUUAGACGCAGCAGCUAAAAACUUUUCAAACGUAACCAAAACAUCCAAGGGCCAAGUUCCAGACACUCGGGAGACGGUGGUGCAGUUGCCAUGGGAACAGAGAACCCAGCCUGGCUGCUGGUGUGAAGUAGGACUUGGUGUCCUGUCCAUGGUAUUCAUACACCGACAGUACUCUAUUGUUGCUGUGGCUAAUGAUCCAUCUUCUUCUGUCUCACAAUGAAAACAUGGCCUCGUUUAAAAGAACACUGCACUGUACUUUCUUUAAAUCAGGCGUUCUCAACAUAUGAUGGAGAUAUGGAGCGGAGAUCCCCUGCUUAUAUAUCUUGUAUAAAAGUGUGUUUUAAAUUAAA